rnacentral:tRNA from 1 species
UCCUCGGUGGCGCAAUUGGCUAGCGCGUCUGACUGUUAAUCAGGAGGUUGAAAGUUCGAGCCUUUCCCGAGGAG